CUCACGGACACACACACAAUUGUUGAGACACACAAAGACCCCGAAAAACCCACUUGAGCGCACACACACAAACACACACACAUGUGCAUGCACAGAAAGGCCAAACUUUACUGAUUUUUAGUUUAUUCCUUCAGGGGCCGUCACCGACAGGUGAACCAUCAGGUGUCCCAUCAGUUAUCCCACCACGUAUCCCAUUAGGUGAACCAUCAGGUGUCCCAUCAGUUAUCCCACCAUGUAUCCCAUGAGGUGAACCAUCAGGUGUUCCAUCAGUUAUCCCACCACGUAUCCCAUGAGGUGAACCAUCAGUUAUCCCACCACAUAUCCCAUUAGGUGAACCAUCAGGUGUCCCAUCAGUUAUCCCACCACGUAUCCCAUUAGCUGAACCAUCAGGUGUCCCAUCAGUUAUCC
ensembl:lncRNA